AAACAACGCUAGGGGCGUCGAUUUGACUGAGAAGAACCCUUUGAACCUGAACUAGUUAGUACUAGCGGAGGAAAGUGUCAUUGCUAAUGA
rnacentral:ncRNA from 2 species